GGGGCUAUGGCGAAGUUGGGAUCGCGUUCGACUGAAGGACCAUCAAUCCCCCUUCAGAUUAUCGGAAGAUCGCCGGUUCGAUCCCGGCUGGCCCCA